GCGGAUGGAAUACGUGCGAAAGACCGCUCGAACGGAUAUCUGACAGAACGGAAACAGACACACAAGCUAUUUCAAUUGGGAAAGUCAAUUCUCGACAACGGACGCAGCGGCCGCAGGCAGACGUUCGUCGGGCAAGAAGUAAGGCGGGACACCCGAAGUGCACUCGGAGAACGCAAGCGGGAAACCGAAUAAUUAGAUGUGAGCCGGAAAGCAGUGUUGUUUUUGCAAAGAGAGACAAAUGUUUACCUUCCCCGUACGAUGGCUACUAAACGGCAAGCAAGGUGACAAGUUUAACGAACCUGUACGCGCCCUUCCCGAUACAAGGAAGACUCGGGAAAGGAUUGAAAUGUGUCGAUCUACACGCAAUGUUCUGGGAAUAGCAGCAGUAGAACCAACAAGAAGCGCUCGAUCAUUAACAGAUGGCUGUAAGUACUCUAACGAUU
rnacentral:lncRNA from 1 species